UAAUUUCCCGGAGUGGGUUUUGGGUUUAGGUUGCUUGUCUCAUACUUGUGCUAGAAUUGUGGUAUAAUUAACAAGAUUACGCAGAAAGGAAUUAGCAUCCAGAAAGUGAAGCCGCAAAGGUAAAGGAUAAAGGUGAAGCCACUGACAGAGUGAUAAGCCAUUAAAAAUUGUUCGAGCCCAAACAAAGAUUCCCACUAGGAACGACUUUGUUUGUCUUAUCUAUAAAAUCAUCAUCUUUCUGCGACUUCGGUGUUUGGCGUGUCAGCUGAUUCUUGCAAUGUAUUUGUUUGAUCAAGCUGAUUCUUGCAAAUCUUCUCUCCUCAAUUGGUAACUGUGAGCAGCUGAAUCUCAAUCAACACCAAGACAUGGAGGUCAUUUUAGAUAAAAAAGAUGCUGGUGAUUGGAUUUACAGAGGCGAAGGCGCUGCCAAUCUUGUUCUCGGUUACAGCGGAUCCACCCCCUCUUUUACUGGGAAAGUAAUGCGUCUACAGAAAGCUCCAGUUAAUGGGUCAAAGUCCAUGAACAGUCCCACUGCAUUAACCGUGCAUGAACGUCUUCUGUGGAAGGACACGGAGGACAUUGUAGCUACCUCUAACAAAGAACUUGCUUGUCAACUGUUUGUGAAGCACAUCAUGAGCCCUCUAUUGGGUUCCACAUACGUUGAUUCCGGGAUGCGCGUCUCUGCUUCCAAGGAAUUCUUGGAGUCGGUUGAGAAGAACAUAAUUUCUCAGCGUCCUGCUUCUCGAGUUGAUGCCGCAAAAGUUGACACAGAAUGUGAUUCUGUGCUUCUUAUGUCUGAUCAUUCUCUUUUUCCUCGUGGUUUCUUUUUUGCAUGCCUGUUCUGGUUGCUAACACUUAAAAGGUCUCCCUUUGCCUUUUACAUUUCUAGUAAAAGUUAUGAGGUAAUAUCCACACACCUACAUAAAAACUCAGAGAAGCAGGGAGAGAAACCUGGAAUUAGCAGCAUUCUGCUUAGAAUCAUAGGAACUUUGUAUCUUAUUAAAUGUACUCAUGAAGUUGAACCCUGUAUAUCUGUGGAGAUAAAGCCAAAAUGUGGAUUUCUGCCAUCUUCAAAGUUCAUUGAUGAAGGAAAUGCCAUUAAACGGAGCAUUACUCGUUUUCAGAUGCAUCAAGCUCUGAAGUUGCAUCAAGGAGAGGUAUCAGAAUAUAGUGACUAUAAUCCACUUGAUAUGUUCUCUGGAUCCAAGGACAGAAUACAUAAAGCUAUCAGGGAUCUCUUCUCAACCCCACAGAAUAACUUCCGUGUGUUCUUGAAUGGUUCUCAAAUAUUUGGGGGCUUAGGUGGUGGUGCAGACAGUACCAAUUUUGUGACUCGAGGAAAAUUUGAAGAUGCACUCAAGUGUGUCAUUCAGGGAGGUGAUGGCUUGCGCACAAUGAGUUUUCUACAGCUUGUUGCUGAAACAGUUCAUAAUUCUGGAGUGUUGGAUCAGCUCCUUGAGGUCCAGAAACUUGAUAACCUUGACAUUGAUGGGGCUAUCCAUGCGUAUUAUGACAUCGUUUCGGAGCCUUGCAUGGUAUGCAGAGCAUUCGGUAAAGAAAAAUUGUCACAGAAAUAUCUUUCAUUGCAUUCCAUCUCUUUGGAUGAAAGCUUGAAGAUUGUGAAGGACUUUUUGAUAGCUGCUACUGCGAAGGACUGCAGUUUGAUGAUUAGUUUUAGACCAAGGAAAGAUGGGAAUACAGGAUCUCCAUAUAAUAAUUUGUAUCUAGAAUCAAGCAACCAAUUUUUUGAUUACAAGGUGAAUUUCAUUGACCUGGAUUUGAAACAAUUGAAGAAAAUGGAAGAAUAUUAUGAGUUGGACAAAAAAAUAGUAACCUACUACAAUCGAAUGGUGGAAACUGAGGAAAGACAAAAGAAAAAUACAAGCACAAUGGCUCUUAGAACUGCAAAUUGAGAUUUGUUACAGUGCCAUGGAGGAUAGUUUACUUCAAAUUAUGAGGAAAGUGAUGUAUCAACUAACUUCAGUGUGAUUCCAUCAAAGCCCACAUGGCCUAUUAAUUCAGACAGUUGGAUUUUCACAUUGUGGUAUUAGUACUACUAUAGAAAAGAAGAAAAAAAGACCAGGGCAUCCUUGGUAUUUUCUAAUUGAAAAUGCGUCUGCUUUAGCAACAGUAUUUUAGGGAAUCAAUGAAUUAUCCAAGUUUGAAGAAACGAUUUCUUGCAUAGACAUUAAUCUAAAUUUCCAGUUGUCUCAUCAAAAUUCUUUUUGCGCUUACUUUAUGCUUCCUUAUAGUUCUUCAUAUUUUUCAAGUUUUCCAUUGUUGGUGCAGAUUUAUAUUUUGAUAUCCUUUAAUAAAUUGUCAGGUAAACAUAAGGUUCUUACAGUUUUGAACAAUGGAACCAAACACAUUUAGUUUUGAGCAGUAACUUAUGACAUUUUCCACUUCUGUCUGAUGUACAAAGUGUGAUUUGGAGUUCUUUUUUGUAACUACAUUGCCAAACCACGAACAUUUGAAAGAAAUGAUUUGGAAGAAUGAGCCUGAUGCUGAAACGUGUAUCUAGACCAGUGGUAAGACUAAUAUGGAAGGCUCUGUGAACUCUGGUUGUUCAGCUUUGGUAUUUUGAUCAGCAUAUAUGUGGAAUAUAAAGGCUGUGGGUUGGCUACAUCAUGUGCUGAACAAUGAGCUCCUGAGCUGUCUAUAGAAAACUGUAGUGUCAGUGGAACUGCUGUGUUCAAAGUGCAGGAAGAAGGUGAUGAAGUUAAUAGCAACGGUAGAAGGGAUAACUUCCAUUGUCCUGGACCCGUCAAAAAAUACGGUGACAGUAACUGGGGAUGCCGAUCCAGUAAAGGUUAUCAAGAAGGUAAGAAAAUUCAGAAAAUCUGCUUCCGUUGUGAGUAUAGGUCCUCCACAGAGUGAGAAGAAGGAUGAGAAGAAAGACCUUGUCCCUUACCCACCAAAGACAUGUCAGAGAUGCGAUGUCUGGUAUGUGAUUGCUGAAGAUGGUUACAAUUAUUGUUCCAUAAUGUAAUUACUGUUCCAUAAUGUAUCAUCCUGAAACUUGUAUGAAUAAUACCCAGUUGUAUGUCAUGUUAAACUCACUCAUUUCUGAGUUAAUAAUGGAGAAAAAGAGGCUUUGGUUGUCAAUGCAAA